CCCUUAGAUGUUCUGGGCCGCACGCGCGCUACACUGAUGCAUUCAACGAGUCUAAAACCUGCUCUGAUAGGGGUGGGUAAUCUUUUGAAUGUGCAUCGUGAUUGGGAUAGAUGAUUGCAAUUUUUCAUCUUCAACGAGGAAUGCCUAGUAAACGCAAGUCAUCAGCUUGCAUUGAUUACGUCCCUGCCCUUUGUACACACCGCCCGUCGCUCCUACCGAUUUCGAGUGAUUCGGUGAACCUUUUGGACAGCGUCUGUCCUCGUGUCAGAUGCUGAAAGUCAAGUAAACCAUAUCACUUAGAGGAAGGAGAAGUCGUAACA
rnacentral:rRNA from 1 species